rnacentral:rRNA from 1 species
UACGUAGGUGGCAAGCGUUGUCCGGAUUUAUUGGGUUUAAAGGGUGCGUGGGCGGCCUUGUAAGUCAGUGGUGAAAUACUCCAGCUUAACUGGAGGGGUGCCAUUGAUACUGCAGGGCUUGAGUACAGAUGAAGUAGGCGGAAUUGACGGUGUAGCGGUGAAAUGCAUAGAUAUCGUCAAGAACUCCGAUAGCGAAGGCAGCUUACUAAGCUGUAACUGACGCUGAGGCACGAAAGUGUGGGGAUCAAACAGG